GACGAACGCUGGCGGCGUGCUUAACACAUGCAAGUCGAACGGAAAGGCCUCUUUCGGGGGGUACUCGAGUGGCGAACGGGUGAGUAACACGUGAGUAACCUGCCCUUGACUUUGGGAUAACUUCAGGAAACUGGGGCUAAUACCGGAUAGGAGCUCCUGCUGCAUGGUGGGGGUUGGAAAGUUUCGGCGGUUGGGGAUGGACUCGCGGCUUAUCAGCUUGUUGGUGGGGUAGUGGCUUACCAAGGCUUUGACGGGUAGCCGGCCUGAGAGGGUGACCGGCCACAUUGGGACUGAGAUGCGGCCCAGACUCCUACGGGAGGCAGCAGUGGGGAAUAUUGCACAAUGGGUGGAGGCCUGAUGCAGCAACGCCGUGUGCGGGAUGACGGCCUUCGGGUUGUAAACCGCUUUCGCUCAUGACGAAGCUUUGUGUGACGGUAGUGGGUAAAGAAGCACCGGCUAACUACGUG
rnacentral:rRNA from 1 species